rnacentral:lncRNA from 1 species
GCGCGCGCCGGGUGGGGAGCCACGGAGGGCUUCGCCGCUGCCUCCCUCCCUCCCUCCGCAGCUUGACCCGGUAGUGAAGGCAGAGAGAGAGGCAGGCUGGGUCCGCCUGGCAGCCUACGGGAGGAGGCGGGAGCCGGGAAGGAGGGGAGCCUAGGCCCGGCGUGGGGAGGCCGGCAGGAAGGGCCUCGAGCCCAGUGCGGACCUUUCUUCAGCCUCUGUGCGACCGAGCCGCGCGCCAGGCUCCUGUGCGAGGAGGACGCGCUGACUCCCUCCGACCUGGGCUCCGAUGGAGCAGAAAUAGCGGGACCUGGACUUGUGGCGCGCCUGGUGCCACAUCUCGGGCUCUGCGAGCGUCCUGGCGCGGGAUCCUGCCUAAUGUCUUACAAUAACAGAAUGCAGGAGAGCACAUAUCAAUGAAGAAAAGACAAAAUGUACUUAUCCAUGAAGCUGAGGUUAAGAAACCAGUGUCUUCAAGAGCCAGGGACAGCACUGGGUCUGUGCAGAGUUGAGAGAUGGUGAUGACAUGUGACAGAGCUCCUUGCUGCUCAAAUUUUAUGCCAGAUAAAAUAUUCACCUUCUCGGACUCCCUGGCACCAGGCAUGGCCAUGUAAUCCUACAGCACAGCUGAUGAAAGAGAAGACAUCUUGCUGCUAUUUGACAAGCAAGAAGAUAAAAGCUUUCCUAUAAAGAUGAUGGAGCAAAAAAAUAGAAGGGGCCUAGACUCCCUACCUUCACACUUCCUGCUAUAAAAGCAUUGCUAUUAUAAGGUUAAUCUGCAGAAACAGACUUCUAUGUCAUAUGCUUAAAUGCAUCAAAAUUCAUACAAUAUCCAUUAAAUUGGUAAAAGUAUCCAUUUUAAAGGAUUAAUCUGAGGGACCCACAGACACUUAACACAAUCAAAUCUCAGAAAAAAAAUCAGUUAUUUCAUUGUGAUUUUGAGGCUGAUCUUUUAUGAUCUUUUAGUUAUCAAACUGUUAAAUACAUUUUAACUUUCAAAUUUUAUGAAUAAAG